rnacentral:rRNA from 1 species
UACAGAGGGUGCAAGCGUUAAUCGGAAUUACUGGGCGUAAAGGGCGCGUAGGCGGUUUGAUAAGUGAGAUGUGAAAUCCCCGGGCUUAACCUGGGAACAGCAUUUUAGACUGUUAGACUAGAGUACAGUAGAGGGUAGAGGAAUUUCCGGUGUAGCGGUGAAAUGCGUAGAUAUCGGAAGGAACACCAGUGGCGAAGGCGGCUACCUGGACUGACACUGACGCUGAGGCGCGAGAGCGUGGGGAGCAAACAGG